CCGUUCUUGCGGCUGUUGCUUCUGCAAAGGGAAGCAUUUCUGAGCGGAUUGAGAAGCACCUCAAGAUUUUCAAGAGCUCUCCCCACAGAAGAAUCUGGACGCUUCUGAGCAUGGAUUUGACACAAACCAGCAUCUGGAAUCAGCUUUGAGGCUGCGGAGGAGAACAACCUAAGAAUGGCCUCCUCCCAUCUCAUCUCUUAGCUGACAUAUUAGCCAGGGGAUGAUGGGAGUUACAGCCCAACAUGUUGGGCUGUAUCAGCUUAGGAAAGGCCAGACUUGAGACUUUUCCAGUUUUCCUUUCCUGAUCAUACUAUUUAUUUUAUUUAUUUACAUAUAUACUAGGGGGGUUGUGUUAAGUCAACAGAUCUUUGCAAGAUGAUUAUUUUUAUUUUCUUUUGCAGCUAUGUAUUUCUCCCACUGUUAAUUGUUUUAAAUAAACUUUUAUGAACUGAAA